rnacentral:misc_RNA from 1 species
AAGUCGUAACAAGGUUUCCGUAGGUGAACCUGCGGAAGGAUCAUUAACACAAUUUUACUGUGAUAAAUCCGUUGAAUUCUCGAAUUCAAUGGUAUCCACCCCAUUAUUGACGAACUUUUCUAGAUGUUAAAACAUAGAGCUAGUCUUUAUGUUUUUAACAUUCUAAACCUUUUCUAUAUCCACACAAAUUUAAACCCCUUUUACAACAUGUCUUAGACUGAAAUGAAAAAUUUCUAUCAAAAAAUUGAUAAAAACAACUUUUAACAACGGAUAUCUUGGCUCUC